AUUGAUUUUAUGCUUGCAUAAAUGAUUUUUGGAUUCGGAGCGAGUGGCGAACUGGUGAGUAACACGUGGGUAACCUGCCCCGAAGCGGGGGAUAACAUUUGGAAACAAGUGCUAAUACCGCAUAAUUAGUUGGAACCGCAUGGUUCCAACUUGAAAGAUGGCUCUGCUAUCACUUUGGGAUGGACCCGCGCCGUAUUAGUUAGUUGGUGAGAUAAAAGCCCACCAAGACGAUGAUACGUAGCCGACCUGAGAGGGUAAUCGGCCACAUGGGGACUGAGACACGGCCCAGACUCCUACGGGAGGCAGCAGUAGGGAAUCUUCCACAAUGGACGAAAGUCUGAUGGAGCAACGCCGCGUGAGUGAUGAAGGUUUUCGGAUUGUAAAACUCUGUUGUUAAAGAAGAACAAGUGUUAGAGUAACUGUUAACACUUUGACGGUAUCUAACCAGAAAGCCACGGCUAACUACGUGCCAGCAGCCGCGGUAAUACGUAGGUGGCAAGCGUUGUCCGGAUUUAUUGGGCGUAAAGCGAGCGCAGGCGGUUUUGUAAGUCUGCUGUGAAAGCCCUCAGCUCAACUGAGGAAGUGCAGUGGAAACUACAAAACUUGAGUACAGAAGGGGAAAGUGGAACUCCAUGUGUAGCGGUGAAAUGCGUAGAUAUAUGGAAGAACACCAGUGGCGAAGGCGGCUUUCUGGUCUGUUACUGACGCUGAGGCUCGAAAGCAUGGGUAGCGAACAGGAUUAGAUACCCUGGUAGUCCAUGCCGUAAACGAUGAAUACUAGGUGUUGGAGGGUUUCCGCCCUUCAGUGCCGCAGCUAACGCAUUAAGUAUUCCGCCUGGGGAGUACGACCGCAAGGUUGAAACUCAAAGGAAUUGACGGGGGCCCGCACAAGUGGUGGAGCAUGUGGUUUAAUUCGAUGCUACGCGAAGAACCUUACCAGCUCUUGACAUCUUCUGCCAACCCAAGAGAUUGGGCGUUCCCUUCGGGGACAGAAUGACAGGUGGUGCAUGGUUGUCGUCAGCUCGUGUCGUGAGAUGUUGGGUUAAGUCCCGCAACGAGCGCAACCCUUAUUAUUAGUUGCCAGCAUUUAGUUGGGCACUCUAGUGAGACUGCCGGUGAUAAA
rnacentral:rRNA from 1 species